rnacentral:lncRNA from 1 species
UAGCUUUGUUGGGUAUUUUGACCCAAAACCCACAAGUAAUAGCAUAAUAAUCAAACACAGUGCAAGAAAAUAAAACGAACAUAGGAGAUUAUUCACCCAAUUCAAUCAAAAAGGGCCUAAUCUAGGGAGAUUAGAGGUAAGCCCGUCAUUAUGCUAAAAACAUUCAAGAGAGAGUACAACCAGAAUGAAUAAACCAAAUCAGACGCCUAUUUGGUCAUCGAUCCAAAAAGAUCUCGCAAACAACCACCCUAGCUAAACCUUGACUACAAGAAUCCUUUCAAUCGACUCAGUAUAAAUUUAGCAGGCAAUAUUUAGGCCUAAAACACUGCACCAAGAGUCCUAUCAUCAAUAGAUAACCAAAUAUUACUACAGACUCACGAUCAAAAGCAGAUCGCAGAUCGAACAGAAAGGAUGAGCAGACGCAGUAGAGAGAGAAAACUCAAGAACCAAAACAGACUGAAGACCCUUAGAACAAUUGAACUCGAAAAGGCCCCUAUACACCAUAAUGGUUGAGUGGUUAAAUCUUAACCACCAGAUACAAUCAACAAUCUAUAGCGUAUGUAAAGUAGCACAACUCGAGUGACCAAUAAUUAGCCAAUGUGAGAAUGCCAUUUGUCCAGUCUAAGUGAAAGGAGAAUAAAAUGUUUUUCCACUUAUAAAGUUGUGGUCUGAGAAACACAACUUCACAAUUCUUCACCUUAGUUUUCAAACCAUACACCCUCUCUAGUUGCUAUAAUGCAUGUGACAACACAUUGCCCUACAUCAUCGCCCAAGUACCUGCAAGGAAAGAUCAACCUGUAUCAAUAUUAACGAGUAACAAACAAGAUCUGAAUUUAUUAACAUGAAGAAUUUUAAUGCCCAUAUCAGCAGGGUUAAAGUUAGUAUAAAUUUUUUCGAGAACCAUUUCACCUUAUGAGAGCUUUUUUCUUAUGAAAUGGUACUUCACCUCAAUAUGUUAAGACCUUUCAUGAUAGAUGGGGUUCUUACUUAAGAAUAAAGCACUUCGGUUAUCAAUCAAUAUAACUGGUUGUGUAUUCAUAAAAUUCAGUUCACUUAAAAUUCCUUUUAGCCAUAUGCAUUCUUUUACACAUUCAGUGAUCACCACAUAUAAAGCUUCGAUGCUGGAUAAAUUAACAAUGGAUUGAAGUUGACACUU